AUUGAACGCUGGCGGCAUGCCUUACACAUGCAAGUCGAACGGUAACAGGUCUUCGGAUGCUGACGAGUGGCGAACGGGUGAGUAAUACAUCGGAACGUGCCUAGUAGUGGGGGAUAACUACUCGAAAGAGUGGCUAAUACCGCAUGAGAUCUACGGAUGAAAGCAGGGGAUCGCAAGACCUUGUGCUACUAGAGCGGCCGAUGGCAGAUUAGGUAGUUGGUGGGAUAAAAGCUUACCAAGCCGACGAUCUGUAGCUGGUCUGAGAGGACGAUCAGCCACACUGGGACUGAGACACGGCCCAGACUCCUACGGGAGGCAGCAGUGGGGAAUUUUGGACAAUGAGCGCAAGCCUGAUCCAGCAAUGCCGCGUGCAGGAUGAAGGCCUUCGGGUUGUAAACUGCUUUUGUACGGAACGAAAAGCCCUGGGUUAAUACCCUGGGGUCAUGACGGUACCGUAAGAAUAAGCACCGGCUAACUACGUGCCAGCCGCCGCAGUAA
rnacentral:rRNA from 1 species